UGCUCCAAACAGAGCAAAAAUUCUAAAAGUGAUACUCGCAAAAGAAAACUUGGCUCAGGAUGUUGAUCUGGAAAAUAUCAACAUUAGUUUAUAGCAAAAAGUUCAAAAUAUCAACUUCGCAUCACAAAAGAGACAUUAGUUUAGCUAUAUAUCAAUGCAUGCAUGCACAUGCAACAUACACAGACACACAGGCACAAACACACAGAUCAUUUUCACACACACACACACAUAUGAACACUACAUAGUGUGGCAUACACCCACACUCUCAACGACAACGAUAACAAUGACAUACCCAAUGUAAUCCCACAAGUAGAGUAUGGGGACCUUACCCCUACAAGGUAGAAAGACUGAUAGAUCCUCGGUGCAAAUAAAAGCAUUACAAAGCAAAACAAUUUGAAAGAAUGACCAACGUUCUUAAAAGCGAGAAGCACAAAAAAGCUCUAAGGUAUGUAGAGGUUGAUACAAUCCCACAUUAGUUGGGUAUUGGAGUGGUGGUUUGUUUAUAUGGACUUGGGUAAAUACUCCCCUAAUGAGCUAUCUAUCCCUUGGGGUCAAGUUAUGCCCAAUGCCAUAUUUUUACACAUAUAUCCUUUCAAUUGCUUGACAAAAUAAAGCCUAAACAUGCUUUUUCUAUUUUGCUCUUUGCAGUCACAGCCUAAAGGAUCUCUCUUCACCAAAUUGGGCAGCAUUUUAUAUGAGCUCGCCUUCCCGGAUAGUUUUGGGAAGAUGCAAGACAAGGGGAAAUAGGUUGCAAGCCCAAAUAAAUUUCUGACGAAACUUUUCCCAAAUAAAAUGGUUAUCUACAUGCCGCAGGAUGAAGAACUUCUGUCUACUUGGAAACAACAACUGGAUCAAGAUGCUAAACCCUAACAGUGAAAGAAAAUUUUAAUAGCUUGAAAACAGAUGUUGAGAUAGACAAUGAGUUUGAGAAGGCACUUCUAGCUGAUGUCAUUCCCCCCAGUGAUAUUGGGGUGACAUUUGAUGAUUUCGG